rnacentral:rRNA from 1 species
GACGAACGCUGGCGGCGUGCUUAACACAUGCAAGUCGAACGGAAAGGCCCUGCUUUUGUGGGGUGCUCGAGUGGCGAACGGGUGAGUAACACGUGAGUAACCUGCCCUUGACUUUGGGAUAACUUCAGGAAACUGGGGCUAAUCCCGGAAGGGGGCUCCGCCGGCUGGGGGGGGGUUGGAAAGUUUCGGCGGUUGGGGAUGGACUCGCGGCUUAUCAGCUUUUUGGUGGGGUAGUGGCUUACCAAGGCUUUGACGGGUAGCCGGCCUGAGAGGGUGACCGGCCACAUUGGGACUGAGAUACGGCCCAGACUCCUACGGGAGGCAGCAGUGGGGAAUAUUGCACAAUGGGCGGAAGCCUGAUGCAGCAACGCCGCGUGCGGGAUGACGGCCUUCGGGUUGUAAACCGCUUUCGCCUGUGACGAAGCGUGAGUGACGGUAAUGGGUAAAGAAGCACCGGCUAACUACGUG